UUCAGAAUCUGCAUUCAGUAUAGCAGGAAGAAUUAUUAAUGAUUAUCGAUGCUCAACUACGCCUGAAAAUGUUGAAUCAUUGAUAUGCACACAGAGUUGGAUUCGUGAUGCACACAACUUGGGUGAAAGUUCUCAUGAUGCAGAGCACCAUUCAAACGAGGAAAGUUAAUCAAAUGCAUGAUUAUCACGAUGGACAUUUCAAGGUUGCUGAUGGACUUUGAAGACAUUUACUUUGAUUUUCAUAUGCAGGUUGUUGAUGGACUUUGAAGAUGUUUACUUUGAUUUUCAUGUGGCAUUAGUUUAGGCUUUGCUAUUUGGAUGUUGCUUUGACAUUUUUUGGAAGCCGGUUCUUGUUCCAACAAAACCUUUGUCAAAUGAUUUUGUAGUUGCUGUUGUAAGGAACUACAACCAUGAACUCCCUAUUGAAGCUAUCAUUCUUUUUUGAGUUCUAAUUGUAGAUUCAGUUUCUGUCGUUCUUUAUGUUUAACUUUGAUGUAUGA